rnacentral:rRNA from 1 species
GAUGAACGCUAGCGAUAGGCUUAACACAUGCAAGUCGAGGGGCAGCACAAGGUAGCUUGCUAUCUGGGUGGCGACCGGCGCACGGGUGCGUAACGCGUAUGCAACUUGCCCUAUACAGGAGGAUAACCCGUCGAAGGACGGACUAAUACUGCGUAUGCUCACAACUUGGCAUCAAGUGGUGAGGAAAGAAAUUCGGUAUAGGAUAGGCAUGCGUCCCAUUAGCUUGUUGGUGAGGUAACGGCUCACCAAGGCAACGAUGGGUAGGGGAACUGAGAGGUUUAUCCCCCACACUGGUACUGAGACACGGACCAGACUCCUACGGGAGGCAGCAGUGAGGAAUAUUGGUCAAUGGGCGCGAGCCUGAACCAGCCAAGUCGCGUGAAGGAUGACUGUCUUAUGGAUUGUAAACUUCUUUUAUACGGGAAUAACAAGAGUCACGUGUGACUCCCUGCAUGUACCGUAUGAAUAAGCAUCGGCUAACUCCGUG